AUCUAUUUGAUUUUCUCUCCCAUUGGAUAACCGUGGGAAAUCUAGAGCUAAAACAUGCGGUAUCUUGACAUGCUUUCGGGUAUGUCAAAGCAUUUAUUAGUCUAAACCAACUGCUUUGUUUAUUCAAAGUAAGGUGAAUCUGGAUAACUUUGCUGAUCGUAUGGCCUAGUGCCGGCGACGUUUCAAUUGAGUUUCUGCCCUAUCAACUUGUUGGUAAGGUAUUGGCUUACCAAGGUUGCAACGGGUAACGGGGAAUCAGGGUUCGAUUCCGGAGAGGGAGCCUGAGAAACGGCUACCACAUCCAAGGAAGGCAACAGGCGCGCAAAUUACCCAAUCUAGACAGUAGGAGGUGGUGAAGAGAAUUACCAAAUGGUGGUCCAAUGGAUCACUUGUUUGGAAUGAACGUAACUUAAGAAAUUCGUUGAUAAACAACUGGAGGGCAAGUCCUGGUGCCAGCAGCCGCGGUAAUUCCAGCUCCAGUAGUCUGCUUUAAAGUUGUUGCGUUUAAAACGCUCGUAGUUGGAUCACGCAGCAGUGUCCAGUUAUCUUUUGUCCAACUCAGUCGGGUGUGUCCGUCACUGACGGCCAUUUGGUAGUUUUGGCUCUAGAUGCAAUGCUGGAUGCUGUUAUUUGCACGUGAGAUAGAUUGUUGGCCUUAAAUGAGCCGGUAUUCUUGUCUUGCGGAGUGUGCCUUGAAUAAAACAGAGUGCUUAAAGCAGGUUUUUGCCUGAAUGUUAUAGCAUGGAACGAACAAUCGUGUAUAUGUGUGAGUCAUCGGAUAGUUACGAAUCUUUGGUUUGUAGUUGUUCGUGGCGCACACGGCACCCGCCUAAAUAUGUGUGUUGGUUACAUAUACGGUGAUGAUUAACAGAAGCGGUUGGGGGCAUUAGUAUUUGGCCGCGAGAGGUGAAAUUCUUAGACCGGCCAAGGACUAACUAAUGCUAAGGCAUUUGUCUAGACCGUAUUCAUUAAUCAAGAACGAAAGUGGGAGGUUCGAAGACGAUCAGAUACCGUCAUAGUUCCCACCGUAAACUAUGCCGACCUGGGAUCAGUUUGGAGAUAUGCAAGCUCUAAAUUGGUCCCUCUGGGAAACCUAAAGUUUUUCGGUUACGGGGAGAGUAUGGUCGCAAGGCUGAAACUUAAAGGAAUUGACGGAAGGGCACCACCAGGGGUGGAGCCUGCGGCUUAAUUUGACUCAACACGGGGAAACUUACCUGGUCCGGACGUCGAUAGGAUUUACAGAUCAAUAGCUCUUUAAUGAUCCGAUGAGUGGUGGUGCAUGGCCGUUCUUAGUUCGUGGAGUGAUCUGUCAGUUUAAUUACGGUAACGAACGAGACCACAGUCUCUAUUUAAAAGAUGGAAGAAGGUGACAUUUACGCAGUCGCAAGGCCGUGUAGGUGUUGCUGCCGAGGGGGUAGUGUGCUUUAUGAUUGGCUCUCGGGUUGAUUGUAUUGUGUGUUGCUCUUUCCUUCCAUUACGCAGCAGUCGGUCUCGGCUGGCUGUUGCCUUAUAGAGAGACAACGAGGUAUAAACAAGCUCGAGGAAGAGUGGCUAUAACAGGUCUGUGAUGCCCUAAGAUGUCCUGG
rnacentral:rRNA from 1 species